UUGUCAUCACUCAAAUUUUUCAACUUUUUGUAAACCCUGUACCUGUAACUUGGUCAGAGGAAAGCUGUUACCUACCCACGGAAGGUUUCAUCCCCAUCUUUUUUCUCUUUUCUCAUUUCCCCUUCCCCCUUCAGCCCUGUUACUCUCCCAAAACACAAACCCAAACCCAUAAAAUAGAAGAAGCUCCCUCGCCGAUCUCCACCGUUCGUCACUAGGGCCGCUUCACCCAUCUCUCCAACGUGUACUGGUGGUGCGAUCUCCUCCGUUGUGACCUAGCAGUGCCGAUGACCUUUGAAGAAACGUGACCCAUUUCCUCCAUUCGUCAUAGACAAUCUCCUCCGAUCUAACACGGGGAUGGUGCCCUCAAUAACAAACUUAAUUAAAAGCGUUAAUGUUACCUUGAAUAUACACCAACAAGUGCCUCUGGUAGCACUAUUGGUGUAGUUGGUCAAAGAAGUGGUGGUGGUGCUACUAUGGGGUUCAAUGGCAGAAAGUUUCAACCAUUUAGUGGACAAGGCAAAAAAUCCAACGAGGGCACCAAAAGCAGUAAAUGAAGCAGAUCAUCAAUUUUUUUUUUUUUGGUUAUGGUUCUCACAGUUAAUGUAACUAGUAUUUAAAUUGUUCAAGUGCCAAAAACAAUAUUUUUAUAUUUUGGUUGGAAGAUGUGUAUGUCUGAUGAGUGGUGGACCAAUAGUUUGGUUUUGGUUGUAAACCUAUAUGCAUGUGGCUUAAAGACAAAACUGAUUGUCUUCACUUUUGGCAAAUGAUAACAUUAUAUAUUUUUAAUCAAUGCAGCAAAAUUUUUAUUUGAAGAAA